AAGACCUUGCGCUUUUGGAGCGGCCGAUGCCUGAUUAGCUAGUUGGUGGGGUAAUGGCCUACCAAAGCUUCGAUCAGUAGCUGGUCUGAGAGGACGGCCAGCCACACUGGGACUGAGACACGGCCCAGACUCCUACGGGAGGCAGCAGUGGGGAAUUUUGGACAAUGGGCGCAAGCCUGAUCCAGCCAUGCCGCGUGAGUGAAGAAGGCCUUCGGGUUGUAAAGCUCUUUCAGCCGGGAAGAAAAGGUUGCGAUUAAUAAUCGCAAUUUAUGACGGUACCGGAAGAAGAAGCACCGGCUAACUACGUGCCAGCAGCCGCGGUAAUACGUAGGGUGCGAGCGUUAAUCGGAAUUACUGGGCGUAAAGGGUGCGCAGGCGGUUUUGUAAGUCAGAUGUGAAAUCCCCGAGCUUAACCUGGGAACU
rnacentral:rRNA from 1 species